rnacentral:rRNA from 1 species
GCCAGGGAACUACGAGCUAAGCUUAAAACCCAAAGGACUUGACGGUGCCCAUACCCCACUAGAGGAGCCUGUCCUAUAAUCGAUAAUCCCCGUUUUACCUCACCACUCCUAGCCCAUCAGCCUGUAUAUUUCCGUCGAAAGCUAACCACAUGAGUGAAACCCAGUUGGCCCAAAGAUUUUUCCACCAUAUUCACGUCAGGUCAAAAUGCAGCAAAUGAAGUGGAAAGAGAUUGGCUACACUUUUUAGUAUAAAAGAAACGAAAGACAGUAAUGAAACUUUGUCGGAAGGUGGAUUUAGCAGUAAAAAGAAUUCAUAAUAUUCAUUUGAAUUUGGCACUGGAGCGUGU